CUUUAUAAGCAGAGUUUGCAGAGCCCUGCUGCUGGAUAAAGAUCAGGAAGAAGGAGCUGUCUGGGGUCUUCCAGGGAUAGGCUUCAAUUAUUGCUUUGGAUAAAGGUGAUGAAUCACCAGAAUGGAUGGGAUUAGCAUUUAAAAAAACUAAAUGAAAGAGGAGAGGAGAAAAGACAGUAGCAGAGUGCAUUCCUUGUAGAAAGGGCUCUCAUGUGUCUGAGAACCUGGAAGAUGUCAUGUAUUAAGAAAUAUACACAUGGUGCCUGAUGAUGGAAGAGGACACAGAUCUGAUACAGAUUCCAGACUGACAGUAUAAUUUCUAUGUGGGGU